rnacentral:tRNA from 1 species
AGGAUUGUGGCUCAGUGGUAGAGCACUUGCCUGGCAUGUAUGAGGCCCUGAGUUCAAUCCUU